GGUUAAGCGACUAAGCGUACACGGUGGAUGCCCUGGCAGUCAGAGGCGAUGAAGGACGUGCUAAUCUGCGAUAAGCGUCGGUGAGGUGAUAUGAACCGUUAUAACCGGCGAUUUCCGAAUGGGGAAACCCAGUGUGUUUCGACACACUAUCAUUAACUGAAUCCAUAGGUUAAUGAGGCGAACCGGGGGAACUGAAACAUCUAAGUACCCCGAGGAAAAGAAAUCAACCGAGAUUCCCCCAGUAGCGGCGAGCGAACGGGGAGGAGCCCAGAGCCUGAAUCAGUGUGUGUGUUAGUGGAAGCGUCUGGAAAGGCGUGCGAUACAGGGUGACAGCCCCGUACACAAAAAUGCACAUAUUGUGAGCUCGAUGAGUAGGGCGGGACACGUGGUAUCCUGUCUGAAUAUGGGGGGACCAUCCUCCAAGGCUAAAUACUCCUGACUGACCGAUAGUGAACCAGUACCGUGAGGGAAAGGCGAAAAGAACCCCGGCGAGGGGAGUGAAAAAGAACCUGAAACCGUGUACGUACAAGCAGUGGGAGCCUCUUAAUGGGGUGACUGCGUACCUUUUGUAUAAUGGGUCAGCGACUUAUAUUCUGUAGCAAGGUUAACCGAAUAGGGGAGUCGAAGGGAAACCGAGUCUUAACUGGGCGUUAAGUUGCAGGGUAUAGACCCGAAACCCGGUGAUCUAGCCAUGGGCAGGUUGAAGGUUGGGUAACACUAACUGGAGGACCGAACCGACUAAUGUUGAAAAAUUAGCGGAUGACUUGUGGCUGGGGGUGAAAGGCCAAUCAAACCGGGAGAUAGCUGGUUCUCCCCGAAAGCUAUUUAGGUAGCGCCUCGUGAAUUCAUCUCCGGGGGUAGAGCACUGUUUCGGCAAGGGGGUCAUCCCGACUUACCAACCCGAUGCAAACUGCGAAUACCGGAGAAUGUUAUCACGGGAGACACACGGCGGGUGCUAACGUCCGUCGUGAAGAGGGAAACAACCCAGACCGCCAGCUAAGGUCCCAAAGUCAUGGUUAAGUGGGAAACGAUGUGGGAAGGCCCAGACAGCCAGGAUGUUGGCUUAGAAGCAGCCAUCAUUUAAAGAAAGCGUAAUAGCUCACUGGUCGAGUCGGCCUGCGCGGAAGAUGUAACGGGGCUAAACCAUGCACCGAAGCUGCGGCAGCGACACUAUGUGUUGUUGGGUAGGGGAGCGUUCUGUAAGCCUGUGAAGGUGGCCUGUGAGGGUUGCUGGAGGUAUCAGAAGUGCGAAUGCUGACAUAAGUAACGAUAAAGCGGGUGAAAAGCCCGCUCGCCGGAAGACCAAGGGUUCCUGUCCAACGUUAAUCGGGGCAGGGUGAGUCGACCCCUAAGGCGAGGCCGAAAGGCGUAGUCGAUGGGAAACAGGUUAAUAUUCCUGUACUUGGUGUUACUGCGAAGGGGGGACGGAGAAGGCUAUGUUGGCCGGGCGACGGUUGUCCCGGUUUAAGCGUGUAGGCUGGUUUUCCAGGCAAAUCCGGAAAACCAAGGCUGAGGCGUGAUGACGAGGCACUACGGUGCUGAAGCGACAAAUGCCCUGCUUCCAGGAAAAGCCUCUAAGCAUCAGGUAACAUCAAAUCGUACCCCAAACCGACACAGGUGGUCAGGUAGAGAAUACCAAGGCGCUUGAGAGAACUCGGGUGAAGGAACUAGGCAAAAUGGUGCCGUAACUUCGGGAGAAGGCACGCUGAUAUGUAGGUGAAGCGACUUGCUCGUGGAGCUGAAAUCAGUCGAAGAUACCAGCUGGCUGCAACUGUUUAUUAAAAACACAGCACUGUGCAAACACGAAAGUGGACGUAUACGGUGUGACGCCUGCCCGGUGCCGGAAGGUUAAUUGAUGGGGUUAGCGGCAACGCGAAGCUCUUGAUCGAAGCCCCGGUAAACGGCGGCCGUAACUAUAACGGUCCUAAGGUAGCGAAAUUCCUUGUCGGGUAAGUUCCGACCUGCACGAAUGGCGUAAUGAUGGCCAGGCUGUCUCCACCCGAGACUCAGUGAAAUUGAACUCGCUGUGAAGAUGCAGUGUACCCGCGGCAAGACGGAAAGACCCCGUGAACCUUUACUAUAGCUUGACACUGAACAUUGAGCCUUGAUGUGUAGGAUAGGUGGGAGGCUUUGAAGUGUGGACGCCAGUCUGCAUGGAGCCGACCUUGAAAUACCACCCUUUAAUGUUUGAUGUUCUAACGUUGGCCCGUAAUCCGGGUUGCGGACAGUGUCUGGUGGGUAGUUUGACUGGGGCGGUCUCCUCCUAAAGAGUAACGGAGGAGCACGAAGGUUGGCUAAUCCUGGUCGGACAUCAGGAGGUUAGUGCAAUGGCAUAAGCCAGCUUGACUGCGAGCGUGACGGCGCGAGCAGGUGCGAAAGCAGGUCAUAGUGAUCCGGUGGUUCUGAAUGGAAGGGCCAUCGCUCAACGGAUAAAAGGUACUCCGGGGAUAACAGGCUGAUACCGCCCAAGAGUUCAUAUCGACGGCGGUGUUUGGCACCUCGAUGUCGGCUCAUCACAUCCUGGGGCUGAAGUAGGUCCCAAGGGUAUGGCUGUUCGCCAUUUAAAGUGGUACGCGAGCUGGGUUUAGAACGUCGUGAGACAGUUCGGUCCCUAUCUGCCGUGGGCGCUGGAGAACUGAGGGGGGCUGCUCCUAGUACGAGAGGACCGGAGUGGACGCAUCACUGGUGUUCGGGUUGUCAUGCCAAUGGCACUGCCCGGUAGCUAAAUGCGGAAGAGAUAAGUGCUGAAAGCAUCUAAGCACGAAACUUGCCCCGAGAUGAGUUCUCCCUGACUCCUUGAGAGUCCUGAAGGAACGUUGAAGACGACGACGUUGAUAGGCCGGGUGUGUAAGCGCAGCGAUGCGUUGAGCUAACCGGUACUAAUGAACCGUGAGGCUUAACCUUAC
rnacentral:rRNA from 1 species